CACGUAGGGCGCAAGCGUUGUCCGGAAUUAUUGGGCGUAAAGAGCUCGUAGGCGGUCUGUUGCGUCCGCUGUGAAAACUCGGGGCUUAACCCCGAGCCUGCAGUGGAUACGGGCAGACUAGAGGUAGGUAGGGGAGAAUGGAAUUCCCGGUGUAGCGGUGAAAUGCGCAGAUAUCGGGAGGAACACCGGUGGCGAAGGCAGGUCUCUGGGCCACUACUGACGCUGAGAAGCGAAAGCAUGGGGAGCGAACAGG
rnacentral:rRNA from 1 species